rnacentral:rRNA from 1 species
UACAGAGGUCUCAAGCGUUGUUCGGAAUUAUUGGGCGUAAAGGGUAGGUAGGUGGUCUCAUUUGUCUGGGGUGAAAUCCUUGAGCUUAACUCAAGAACUGCCCCAGAAACGGUGAGACUCGAGUACUGGAGAGGGUCGUGGAAUUCCCGGUGUAGCGGUGAAAUGCGUAGAGAUCGGGAGGAACACCAGAGGCGAAGGCGGCGACCUGGACAGUUACUGACACUCAACUACGAAAGCGUGGGGAGCAAACAGG